UACAGUCCACUUAUCAUUAUACAAAUUGCUAUCGAAGUAUAUAAAUUAACGUAAAUAUAAAUUCAUAUAAAUUAAAUAAAUAUAAAUCUCACAGGUCGGUUCCCACACUCCUGGAGGUACAUCAGCAGGUGGAGCAGACUCCUGGAGGUACAUCAGCAGGUGGUGCAGACUCCUGGAGGUACAUCAGCAGGUGGUGCAGACUCCUGGAGGUACAUCAGCAGGAGGUGUAGACUCCUGGAGGUACAUCAGCAGGUGGUGCAGACUCCUGGAGGUACAUCAGCAGGUGGAGCAGACUCCUGGAGGUACAUCAGCAGGUGGUGCAGACUCCUGGAGGUACAUCAGCAGGUGGAGCAGACUCCUGGAGGUACAUCAGCAGGUGGAGCAGACUCCUGGAGGUACAUCAGCAGGUGGAGCAGACUCCUGGAGGCACUUGUAGCCGAGCCUGAGCCUGGCAGUGGUAACAUCUAGUUAUCAUGAUAAUAGACGUGCGGUUCUUCCUAGUUUGUUGCAGUUCCCAGUAUACGGCUGCCCGCGUCAGGCUGUGUGGCUCUGUCGUCAGGAAUGCAGCUCAUGAUGUGCGUCAAGAACUGCAUUGUUGAGUCCCAUGGCAACGAUACGCUGUGGUGACGUCACAACUCUGAGGUCAGUCACCUGGCAACCGAAGGAAGUAGUGACGUCACAAGUACACGCAACACACACACACACGCACGCACACUCUUGCACCACCUGGGGAAAACACCUCAACGGGACCUAAAAUAAUCCAUUUCUUUCGUUAAUCUUAAUUAAUCUUCAUAAAUACUUUAAGUUAUGGCAGUGAGUAAUGCCAUGACUAUGGUUAACUAUGGUAAAAAUAAUCAGGUUCCGUAAACAGAACCAAGGUGGCACCGGGAGCGCUAGCGACGUCUGGCACUCCCUCGCCUUGCCACAUAAAUACGAGUUCUGCCACAGUUGCUGCAUCAGUCCUCCGUCGACCGCCCAGCAGUUAUGUCUGGGUCCUCCGACUGGGAGGAAGACAAGCGUGGUGGGUGGGAGAGAGGCGGUAUUGACCCGUCCUGCCCCCGGAGACUGGCUCGUUGGGCCCUCGCCGGGGGCAGGACACAUUCCUACCUCAGUGACGCCUGACCUCACCUUCCGACACAUGGCGAGGACCUCCUGACGAAGCUGUGAUGCGCCUGCUGGACCCACCAACACCUGUCCGGUCCACCACAAGUGCUGGGGACCCACCAACACCUGUCCGGUCCACCACAAGUGCUGGGGACCCACCAACACCUGUCCGGUCCACCACAAGUGCUGGGGACCCACCAACACCUGUCCGGUCCACCACAAGUGCUGGGACCCACCAACACCUGUCCGGUCCACCACAAGUACUGCGGAACCACCAACACCUGUUCUGGUCCACCACAAGUGCUGCAGAACCACCAACACCUGCCUGAUCCAUCACACAUGCUGGGGACCCACCGACACCUGUUCUGGUCUAUCACAAGUACUUGGGACCCACCAACACCUGUUCUGGUCUACCACAAGUGCUGGGGGACCCACUAACACCUUUCCUGGUUCACAACAGUUGCAACUGGGCCACCUACCAACACCUGGUCCACCAGAAGUGCAGCUGUGUCACCUGCUAACAUCUGUAGUGACAUACACACACACAAAUCAGCGCGCCGAAUCAGUAACCUUCGGGAGGUCCUGACUAACUCUGGACAACGAGAAAAGACUUUCCUAAUGAUGCUCACUUAGACUUAUAUCUAAGAAAUGUAUACAUACGCAAUUGCAUUACAUGAAUAAUUGUUUUAUUACAUGUAUACACUUUUUCAUUUCAUGUAUACACUCUUUCAUUCCAUGUAUACAAUUAUCCUAUACAUACAUUCACAGAUUUUGUAUGUAUACAAUGCUUCACAAUAACUUUGUAUGGAUCGUAGAUCAACUUUGUGUGACUGUAAACUUUCACUGUAAGUGAAGUUAUUCAUUUAUGAGAUUCCUGUUAUAAGGAAUGUAAACUUUGUCAAAGAUCAACACUAAUGUUUACUUCUAUAUUUUUUGUCAUAAAUAAAAGUUUUCUAAUAUU